GGGGUUGACAUGGAUUUGACGGCGAGAUGAAAUGGUAUGUAAGCAUGCGGAGCCUCGUUGGCUAUCUCCUUAAACGAAGUGAACAAAAGAUUAAUUGGCGAAAACAAUUACGCUCUCGCUGCCUAAUCGAAGCAUAGUAGAUUACUGGCUUUAUCGCGUCACCAGGUGAUGCGACGAGACAUCGCUCCAAAGAUGUUGUUCCGAAUCUGAGGAUUCAGCGGUGCAGGUAAAUCGGAAAUAGCGUGAGUAUGCCUCGCUGCUCUCGUGAAAGUUUAGAGGAUAAGGCUUCAGUUGGUGGUCUGGGUCUUGCUGAAGCUCGACAAUGAAGGCCGGAAUAAGCAUGUAGAAAGCAUAUGGUUUCCUUGUGCGGACGUGGGUUCGAAUCCCACCAGCUCCACAU
rfam:Prevotella baroniae F0067 contig00019, whole genome shotgun sequence.